rnacentral:lncRNA from 1 species
UUUCAUUUUGAAAUUCUAUAGCAAAAGAACAACAAUAAAGUAUUGGUUCCACUUUUAAAUAAAUAAGGGGUUAUUUUGCUGCUGAAAGUUUUCAUUCAAAUGACUGAUCAGAUCUCACAUGUCUGUUUAAAAAUGUCUGACUUAGGUCGUUACAAAAUGACAGACUAUGAUAAACUAGAUGAUAGUUAGAAGCAAGACAAUGAGGCAUUGUUUACACAGAAGAUUGAGUAACUGGUUUAACAAAAGAGGUUCUUGGGUAUCUAUUGUAUGUACAACUACGAGAUUUACUGGAGCUUUUAUAAUUUCUGCAAGGCUCUUUUCCAGCCAGCUUCAUUAACUUGAAGUAAAUCAAAUCAUGCAGAAUUCUGGCUCAGCCAGAAAGCAACCCAGUGAGAUACAACAUGAAGAAAAACAGACACGGGAUGAUAAGAUUUAGAAUCUUUGGCAUUUUUCGUAAACAUUUUGUUUGAAGAUUAUUAAAUUACAACCCAGAGACAAAAAAAAAAAAAUAGUGAACUCACUAUUAAAUGAGAUCUUUUUAACCUUAACUUUUUUUAUAAUACAUACAUACAUAAAAACUGCACAAAGUCUGCAGGAGACAGAUGCUAUCAAAUG